GAGUUUGAUCAUGGCUCAGAGCGAACGCUGGCGGCAGGCCUAAAACAUGCAAGUCGAGCGGCAGCGCGGGGCAACCUGGCGGCGAGCGGCGAACGGGUGAGUAAUGCAUCGGAACGUACCCCGUAGUGGGGGAUAACGCCGGGAAACCGGCGCUAAUACCGCAUAUGCUCUACGGAGGAAAGUGGGGGACCGCAAGGCCUCACGCUAUGGGAGCGGCCGAUGUCCGAUUAGCUAGUUGGUGGGGUAAUGGCUUACCAAGGCGACGAUCGGUAGCUGGUCUGAGAGGAUGAUCAGCCACACUGGGACUGAGACACGGCCCAGACUCCUACGGGAGGCAGCAGUGGGGAAUUUUGGACAAUGGGGGCAACCCUGAUCCAGCCAUGCCGCGUGCGGGAAGAAGGCC
rnacentral:rRNA from 1 species